AAAGCCCCGCAAGGGGCAAGUAGAGUGGCAAACGGGUGAGUAACACGUGGGUGACCUGCCUUCGAGCGGGGGAUAACGUCCCGAAAGGGACGCUAAUACCGCAUAACAUCCUGCCUUUGAAGAGGUGGAGAUCAAAGCUGGGGAUCGCAAGACCCGGCACUUGAAGAGGGGCCCGCGCCUGAUUAGCUAGUUGGUGGGGUAAUGGCCUACCAAGGCAACGAUCAGUAUCCGGCCUGAGAGGGCGGACGGACACACUGGGACUGAGACACGGCCCAGACUCCUACGGGAGGCAGCAGUGGGGAAUUGUUCGCAAUGGGCGCAAGCCUGACGACGCAACGCCGCGUGGAGGAUGAAGAUUUUCGGAUCGUAAACUCCUGUCGAAUGGGACGAAAAGAUUGCGGGUUAACAGCCCGUAGUCCUGACGGUACCGUUAAAGGAAACCCCGGCUAACUCCGUGCCAGCAGCCGCGGUAAUACGGGGGGGGUAAGCGUUGUUCGGAAUUACUGGGCGUAAAGGGCUCGUAGGCGGCCAACUAAGUCAUACGUGAAAUCCCUCAGCUUAACUGGGGAACUGCGUGUGAUACUGGAUGGCUUGGAUUUGGGAGAGGGAUGCGGAAUUCCAGGUGUAGCGGUGAAAUGCGUAGAUAUCUGGAGGAACACCGGUGGCGAAGGCGGCAUCCUGGACCAAUAUUGACGCUGAGGAGCGAAAGCCAGGGGAGCAAACGGGAUUAGAUACCCCGGUAGUCCUGGCCCUAAACGAUGAAUGCUUGGUGUAGCGGGUAUCGA
rnacentral:rRNA from 1 species